CCCGAAAAGUUCUCUAUAAUUUCUAGAUCUGAAACCUCGAAUUCAAAAUUAACAAAAAAUAUAAAACAGCAGAAAAAUUAAAAAAAUACUAUUUCAUUAAGCUCUUUAGAUCAGUUUUCAACUUUUAGUAACUGUUCGAUUUUCUAGCUUAAUUUGAGAAGAGGAUAGUUGUAGAAUUCUGAUGUUCAAUCAUUGAAGUGAUUGAGUCUGCUUUGUUUUCUAUUUCCACUUUGCUUUUGGUUAAAUCAAGCUGAAUUUGAGGUUCUUAUGGUUUGUUGCUGGUUGUGGAAUCAUUAUUCUGGGGUAUUUUGCAUCAUUUUUCUAGUUUGAACUGGUGUAAUCGAUAUUGAAUCUGGGUUUAGAAGAUUCUUUGUGUUCCUCUUUGCUCGAGUUCCCUGUUGUUGUUGACUGCUUCCUCACCUUUUCUCCUUUACUGAUUUAGGAACAUAUUUUCAAGAUCUGCUUGAUGUGGUGUUGAAGUUGGAAACAAAUGAAAUAAAAAUGAAAGUUGAAGUCAUGUGAUCAUAGUAUAGCUUCAUUUCAUUCCUUUGAUUCAAAUUAGUUAUCUCAUGCUUCUGAUUAGUUAAUUCUCCUCGUGCGAACUCACA
rnacentral:lncRNA from 1 species